rnacentral:lncRNA from 1 species
CACUUCCCUAGUCCUUGCUUUCAUCAUCUUUUCUUGCUGGUUGUGGAGAUAUUUAGACCCUAAAGACCAAAGCUUUGCCACCGACUGGACUAAUAUGUGUCUUUCUGUUAUUUCACCACAGUGAUCUGUUUCAUAAGGGUUUGGGGUACAGGAUACUUUAAUUAAAUGUUCUGAUUCUUAACCCACUGUGCCACAGUGAGAACUCCAUGAAUGAGUUUUUUUGUUUUUGUUUUUUUGUCUUUUUGCCAUGUCUUGGGCUGCUCCCGCGGCAUAUGGAGGUUCCCAGGCUAGGGGUCGAAUUGGAGCUGUAGCCGCCCGCCUACGCCAGAGCCACAGCAACUCAAGAUCCGAGCCGUGUCUGCAACCUACACCACAGCUCACGGCAAUGCCGGAUCUUUAACCCACUAAGCAAGGGCAGGGAUCAAACCCGCAACCUCAUGGUUCCUAGUCAGAUUCGUUAACCACUGUGCCACGACGGGAACUCCCGUGAAUGAGUUUUUAAAUGCAGACUACAUGCACAUUUUUGGUUAGCUAAGACUGUGCUGUCCAUAUAGUCAAAAUAUUUGGGGGGGUUAGUAUUUAUAAGAGGGUCCAUUGUCUUUCCCUUAGUUUUUAGUAAUCAGGUUUUAAAAAAGAAGCCUCAGCCUGGGGAAUUUCAUGCCCCUUUGGGUGGGCAUCCUUUCCCUGGCAUCCCGUAUAGUCCAUCCUGUAUCUGUCUACCUUGGAGCCUUAGCCAGCUGAGAGGAGACUGAAGCAGUCUGGUGGGCAGGCUUGUGUUGGUUUUAAAUACCUACAUUGGGCCAUCUGGUCAGUCUACAUUUCCCAGCCUAGGAUCCUUAGGCACACUGUUUUUCCACCUUUAAAAUCCCUCCCCCAUUCCAUCCCAGCCCUUUUCAGUGUGGUCCUGUCCUUUCAGAUUCAGCCAAAACAUCACUCCCUCCAUGCUGAUUUUUCUGAUACCUGGGGUGCUCUGGUACUUCCGUAAGGUCCUUCAGCACUUUGUUCAUACAACCUUGGACACAGUCAUUCCUUGUACUUUCAUUUUUAAAUUUACAUCUCUCUAAAUCCUUGACCAUAAACCCUUCAAGGUCAUGUCCCAGGCCCCAUUCAUCUUUGCACUUUCAGGACUUUUCAUGCCUUGGUACAUAAUAAAUGCUCAAUAAACAGCUGAAUGAAUGAACGAGAGACUGACCAGUCCUGUACAUUCAGAACGAGAGAUUUAAUUGUUGCCGGUAUUGCUUUCAACCACUGUGCUGUUUUCCUGGUAGUUUUGACUUUGGUCAUUUUAAUGGAUGUUCUUUUUCUCUAGGUCUCUGGGAAUAUGUCUAGAAUUGACUUGAGGUAAAUUAGCUUCCUUUGGCUUUCGGAGGAGUUGGGGAGCUCUAGUCCUGCUCCCAUCAGAGAAUUCGCAGAGCUCUGAGGAAGAUGGUGAGAAAAGGAGGAUAUAGGAUGCGUCAAGUGCCCUCAGGCUCAGAUGCUGAGCCAAACUUUGGGCCUCGGUUCUUACUGCUGAUGAGGACUCAGCAGGAAGCUUCUGGCAGUGUGUCCCUAUACUCAAGGGACCCCUUUGCUUGAGGGGUUUGUAGAGUAGGCACCUCUAUUACCUUAUCUCUCAAGGGGUCUAGGGGGCUUGCUUUCUUCUACCCACAUAUCCUUGUAUGGUUGUGGCAAGUUCUUGGCAAAUGAAACUUUUCGUUUGUUUUUUCUCUGCUGCCUAGGUUUAGUGAUAAAAAGUUGAUUUCUUUCUGUGAGUUGACACUUGGUCCUUCAGAGCAGCACUCAACUUCUGGAGAGGGGCUUACCAAGAUAUGCUUGUCUGGUAGGAGGUAAAAGUCAGAAGUGGCACCAUCUCUCCCUUGAAAUUUUACCAGGGAGCUUUCUAGGAGCCUCUCCGGCACCUUGGUCAACACUUUUGCAUGGCUGGUAGUCAGAGUCAGCGAGUCCCACGGGUAUGAAAGGAAACAAUUCUCGACAUUAAUGAACCAUGCUCUGGGGACACGUGGGGCCAGAAUCACUCACUUUAGCACUCCUGGGUCAUUCAGCUGUCAGAUGAUUCAGGCCAUGGCUGGAUGCUGUAUAAGCCACAAAGGUGACUCUGGAGAUCUUCCCAAGUUUUGGUGGAAAAUUUGGCCAGGAGGCCUAGGGAAUUAGAACCUGAUCCAGCCGUUAGCAUGGGUUCACUAGCCACCUCUCCUUCACUCCAUUUCAGCCUUGUUGCUUCUCCAAUAAAGAUGAUUCCUGCCCUAAAGUUGCUUACAGUCUAUCAGGGUUCACAGCAUGUCCAUUGCCAGGAAAGCUCUGGACACCAAGUCAGUGGGUUAUGAUCACAAAGAGUCAGGCAGUGAUCCAGGGUGAUGAAGGAAGGCUUCAGGAAUACAAGCCUGGCCAUGAGCAAUGAUCUGACCUUUGUCAGGGGCCUUAGGUGGGCAAGUGCAUCCUACACAGGAGAAAAGCAUGGACCGAAGGCCUGGAUUAUGCAGGUCCAUCACAGCAUUUAUGGAAUCCCAGAAUGUCUGAUCUGAAAGGGAUAUUGGAGCUUGUUUGGCAUGUUGCUCCUUUAGCAGAAGAGGAAACCAAGACCCACCCAGGACAAAUCGGCUCUAUCACAAGUUGUAGCUUAAGAGCGAAGUAGAGGCUUUUGUCCAGGAUAGUGGCUGAUGGGUAGUGAUUGGACAGCAGGCAGAGUAGGGCAUUGGAAGCAUGGUGGCUUUGCUCAGUAUGGGUCUGGGCGAGCACAGCAGCAGACACUGAGGGUGGGUUUCUUAAAGAGAUCCAGGAGAGGGAGAGAUCCAGGAGGAUGGUGCUAUUGAUUUAGCCAACUGAGGAGAACUUACCCAGUAACUCCCACCCAUGGGUGCUAAUGUUUAUGGACCUAUAUUUUAACCCACUUGUAGCAGAAGCCUGAAACAUUCAGCUUAUAUCACUGUUUAUUCAUCAGUUCAACAAACAUGUAGUUGUCUUUACCCCAGGCACUGGGCUGGGCACUAGAAAUAUACUCCACCAGAGUUCCCUUAUGGCUCAGUGGGUUAAGGAUCUGGGGUUGCCACUGCUGCAGCUCCGGUAGCUGCUGAGGCUCAGAUUCAGUCCCUGGCCUGGGAACUUCCGCAUGCUGUGGGUACGUAUGUGAAAACAAAAAAAACGAGAUGCUGACUCUGUCAUUAUCUGUCUCUGGGACCUUCUUUGUGACUCAUUGUUUUUAAUCUGUCAAAAAGGGAAGCAGUGCGUUUAUAUAGUUUCUCAAAGUUACUGUGAUGACUUGUUUAUUGAUUAAAUCAAACAAUGUAUUGACGGUUCUUAGAAAAGCA